UGCUUAAUAACUUAUCCAGGCCAUGGUAUUGGGUUAUUAUUAGCAAAAAAUGGACAAAGACAUGCUCUAUUGGUGCUAUCCACACUUCAUCUGUAAAUGACUGAACCAACACAAAUGAGCAAAAUUGGGAACUGUUUUCCUUUAGAAGAAUAGGCAAAGAGCAGGAAGACAUUUGCAUAAAGCCAUUAAGCAAGUGAAAGAAUGACACUGGCUCCCCUCCAUACGAGUGGGGAGCCUGGCUGACUGAGGAGCUUGGUGUGCUGACACAGAACUGGAGGCAUGGGUGAUUUUCAACGGGCUUCUGAGAGAUCUUCAAAUAUUCUGGAAACAGUCUUUAUUAGAUAUGUGACCUGUGCAGUCAAAUGAAAAAUGGAACAUGUGCAUGACUAUGGAGGUAUUUUCUUCUGACAAAUGUGAUCAUGUGCUACCAAAGGGAAAUCUCCUCUCCUUAUAGUCUUGGAGGUACAGGCCAGUGCAGCUGUCACCACGUCAAGCACUGCUGAUCACCAUGCAGAGGAAAGAGGACUCUUCUGUAGAGUUGUGUUCUAGCAAUCACAUGACGUGGCCCAAAGUAACACAGAUCAACUCCACUCACCCCUCCUAGGAUAACACCAGUCAUUGAUGGCUCCACCUAACCUCAAGGGCAUCCUCCCACACGGCUGAAGUUAGAAAGCCGGAAGUAUGGACUCUUAUUACCACUGAUGAUAGUACUGAGUUCCAAUAGCUUUACCCAGCCUCUGCCUAGGCACCAUCAACUCUUCAGGAAUAAAGAGUAAAGCUCCUACUAAGAAGCCAGUCUGUGCACUAGCGACACAUCGAUCUCUUCAUUUUGUGGUUCUGCCCUGCCCAUCAUUGCAGCCCACCAUUUCCCUCUCGGCAGGCGGUUCAGAAUUAUAACUGUCUCCACUGAUCGCAGAACCCACUGUGUAGAUAUGCUGUGCCUGAGUAAUACUUCAACUGGAAACUGCAGAUUGAGUAAUUUCAGAGCAAGUUUUGCUACAAUGGAAUAUGGUGUUAAAUAUGAUUUGAAAUCUAAUCCUGUAAAGACAGGGGUGCAUGUGCUUCAGGGGACAGAUGGGUAACCUAAUUGUAUGAAGAGGCCAGAUGUAAGAAGUCAGAGGUGGUGAAGGCCAAGCUGAACUGUGAACACAGCCUAUCUGAAAGAGUGGAGUAUCUGUUCUGGAUUCUUACAUAAAAUCUUAGUUUUGAAUUUGUCCAACAACAACAAAAAAAGGAACAUGUAUUAUAAAAAUUAUUCCAUGAGCUUAGAAACAUACCUUAUGAA